rnacentral:tRNA from 1 species
GUGGCCAUAGCUCAAUUGGCAGAGCGUCUCCCUGUGGAGGAGAAGGUUGCGGGUUCGAGUCCCGUUGGCCGCC